UACGUAGGGUGCGAGCGUUGUCCGGAAUUAUUGGGCGUAAAGGGCUCGUAGGCGGUUUGUCGCGUCGGGAGUGAAAACAUCGGGCUUAACUCGAUGCUUGCUUUCGAUACGGGCAGACUUGAGGUGUGCAGGGGAGAAUGGAAUUCCUGGUGUAGCGGUGAAAUGCGUAGAUAUCUGGAGGAACACCGGUGGCGAAGGCGGCAUCCUGGACCGGUAUUGACGCUGAGGCGCGAAAGCCAGGGGAGCAAACGGG
rnacentral:rRNA from 1 species